GAAUAUUCCGCAAUGCGCGAAAGCGUGACGGAGCAAUGCCGCGUGCAGGAUGAAGCCUUUCGGGGUGUAAACUGCUGUCAGGGGACAGGAAGCUCUGACCAUCCCCAAAGGAAGGGCCGGCUAACUUCGUGCCAGCAGCCGCGGUAAUACGAAGGGCCCGAGCGUUAAUCGGAAUCACUGGGCUUAAAGCGUACGUAGGCGGGCGCGCAGGCAUCUUGUGAAAGCCCCCGGCUCAACCGGGGAACUGCGGGGUGAACCGCGCGCCUUGAGGCAGGUAGGGGCUGUCGGAACGCUAGGUGGAGUGGUGAAAUGCGUUGAUAUCUAGCGGAACGCCGAAGGAGAAAUCAGGCAGCUGGGCCUGUUCUGACGCUGAGGUACGAAAGCGUGGGGAGCGAACGGG
rnacentral:rRNA from 1 species